rnacentral:rRNA from 1 species
UGGGGAAUAUUGGACAAUGGGCGAAAGCCUGAUCCAGCCAUGCCGCGUGUGUGAAGAAGGUCUUCGGAUUGUAAAGCACUUUAAGUUGGGAGGAAGGGCAGUAAGCGAAUACCUUGCUGUUUUGACGUUACCGACAGAAUAAGCACCGGCUAACUCUGUGCCAGCAGACGCGGUAAUACAGAGGGUGCAAGCGUUAAUCGGAAUUACUGGGCGUAAAGCGCGCGUAGGUGGUUCGUUAAGUUGAAUGUGAAAGCCCCGGGCUCAACCUGGGAACUGCAUCCAAAACGGGCGAGCUAGAGUAGGGCAGAGGGUGGUGGAAUUUCCUGUGUAGCGGUGAAAUGCGUAGAUAUAGGAAGGAACACCAGUGGCGAAGGCGACCACCUGGGCUCAUACGGUCACUAAGGUGCGAAAGCGUGGGGAGCAAACAGG